rnacentral:rRNA from 1 species
CCUACGGGCGGCUGCAGUGGGGAAUAUUGCACAAUGGGCGCAAGCCUGAUGCAGCCAUGCCGCGUGUGUGAAGAAGGCCUUCGGGUUGUAAAGCACUUUCAGCGGGGAGGAAGGCGGUGAGGUUAAUAACCUCAUCGAUUGACGUUACCUGCAGAAGAAGCACCGGCUAACUCCGUGCCAGCAGCCGCGGUAAUACGGAGGGUGCAAGCGUUAAUCGAAAUUACUGGGCGUAAAGCGCACGCAGGCGGUCUGUCAAGUCGGAUGUGAAAUCCCCGGGCUCAACCUGGGAACUGCAUUCGAAACUGGCAGGCUAGAGUCUUGUAGAGGGGGGUAGAAUUCCAGGUGUAGCGGUGAAAUGCGUAGAGAUCUGGAGGAAUACCGGUGGCGAAGGCGGCCCCCUGGACAAAGACUGACGCUCAGGUGCGAAAGCGUGGGGAGCAAACAGGAUUAGAUACCCGAGUAGUC